UUAACAUUGGUCUGAACUAGGGAACGUGUUAUGACGCAAGUCUAAAACAGGGUUUUGAUUUAAGGGUCAGGUCAUAAAUAAGGUUUUGAAUUUUUGGUCAGGUAAUAGAUAGGGUAGGGAAUAUCGCAGAUUUUGGUGAUAAAUAGGGUAGGGGUUUUUGGGAAGCGGGUCCCACACCCCCACCUAAUUUUUCUGGGAGUCCUCCCCGGGGGUUCGAUCUUAACGUAUUGAUGUUUCAGUUGUGUUUCAACUAUACCGUUCACCCCUGAAACACACAGCAGCAAUAUUUCAUAAAUGCCUUUCCACUUGGUUUCUGUUCUUUGUUUGUAUCAGGUUAAAAUGUUAAAGACAAUGAUGUGUCCGAUCAAAUGUGACGGAUCACUACUAGUUAUUUCAAAAACCCACUUAUCGCUAUCUUGCACGCGCGCCUUGUUCGAGUUCCUGUAUGUGAAAGUUUCUGCUGCAGACGCAAACUUUGCUCAUCGUCUAGCCUACGACCGCUUCCUCAGGAGAAUAGAUUCUCUGAGAUUGACCUAUGGAGGAUAUAGAAUUGGAUUUAUCAGGUAAUGUUACAGCGGAGCACGCGGCGGAGCCCCAUACCUUAAAAAAUUUGGUAACCCAUCGAUUCAAAACAUUUUUGUUGUCACGUGACCGUCCGUACGUACGUAUGUUCGUCCGUGCGCCACUCGAGGUACAUUUACACCACUCUCCUCUCACCUAUAGGGGUUAAACCCAGGCGGAUAAAAGUGACUCUCUUCCCGCGGCUGUGUUCAACCCUUACAUAGAGCGCGCCGCCGGGGAAGGGGGAGUUCAGAGGUUGGACUACUCUCACAACCACGAUGCAGCUGUAUCUACUUGGCUACGGGAGUAAAUGAUUCAAGAGUUAAAUGGUGGUCCUUCUUGUUUCUAACAUGUGGAUGAAGUUCAAGGAGAAGGGUCACUAUCAAUUGACAUUUCUCUUGGAUUGGUUCGAGUAGUUAAUUAUUUUCUUAAACGAAUAAGAUCUUGUGUUUGGCCGACAUGAAAUUUGCUUUUGGAUCAAUUGUUCUAAGCAGUAAAAUAUACCCAACCUUACGGUAACACUUCUUCUUAAACUAAAGUAACCGCGGUCUUGUGUUGUUAUAGAAGGAAUCAUUAUAGCCAAUUAUUCACUUAGAACCUGUCAAAGACAUUCAGCGAUUAACUUUCAUCAUCAUAAUUCUUUUGUAGCCUGCGCUGAGGGACUGAGCUCCGUAGCAGAUCUUAGCUUGGAUAUUUCCCCUGAAACUUGUUUCCAAGAUGGUGGCGAUUUUUCGUCCCAGUUGCCAGAAAUGGGUGAACUUCAGAUUCCCAGUCGUUUAACUAGACAGUUACCUCAAUCAUGUGCUCCACGGACAAAUCAACUUGGCGGUGUGCUGCAGGCCCCUAGGGCAACUGAUGACCCUGGGGCAACUGGGGCACCUGGCGCACCUGGGGCAACUAGCGCCCCUAGGGCAACUGGCGCCCCUGGGGCAACUGGCGUACCUGGCGCGCCUAUUCAGACCUUAACUCCCCCUCAGCAAGCGUUGCAUUCCUCUUUGACAGCCUUUAACAAUGUAAGGAUUUCUGAGACAUUUAAAAACCCAAUCACUAGUGUUGGAACUACCUGUCAGGAAAACUUACGUAUUCUUUUCUAACAAUGAUACGUUAGGGCAAUGCUUUCUUUCGUUUAGUGCACACACGGUUGUUUCCUGCUAUAGGAAAGAAAGUUACCUACGCUUGUUUUCCCAUUACUUGUUACGAAGAAAUGUAUGCCAUUGCUAUUUAUUAUCUGGAUAUUUAUGAAAUACCGGGAGUUUUGUUCCGUAAAUUUGAUUUCCUUCUCUCGCGCAGUCUUUCAAAAGUGAGGAUGUUGACGUUGCUAUGAUUUCGGACAUGUAAAAUCGUUUUUUCAACAUCAUUUAAGUUGAAUUUGACAUUUCUAACACAGAGAGUAACAUUCUCUUGAGAAUACGUACUUCAUCUUUGUGUUACGUUGAAAUGGUUGUCAUAUUAAUUAACACAUUUUCUAUUACAGUCCCGACCUCAGUUAUGACGACAACCGCUUUCGAUACUUUUAAAAUGAUAAAAAAAAAACACUGAGAUGUCUUAGAUAGAGAUGUUUCAUCCACGUAAUGGACAGAGCAUUACAUGGCUGCUUGGGGAUACGAAUGUUAUCUUCUUGUGUUGAUGGUGUUUCUCACUUACAUAAAUCGCUAAUAUGAAACAGCUAAAGCAGAAUCCAAAGUGUUCUUGUUAAAACGUUUCUCUCCGUCUUCAUACAUUCAUAAUCAGAAGAGCUGACAUCCAAGGGCCUUUUUAUUCAAGUUCGUUGAAAUCUUAUUUUAUACUUUGUCAUGUACAGCCUGGAUAUCAAGUUCAGCCUGGCUACCAUGCCCAACCUAUUCACAUCCAGCAGCCACUUGCAGCUGCUAUUUCAGUUAAACAUCAAGGAUUGCCUUUAUGUCCAACCAAUGAAUCAUGUCCAACCAAUGAAUCUUGUUCAACCAAUGAAUCAUGUUCAACCAAUGAAUGAUGUUCAGCAGACCACCACUGUUGUCAGUGGAGUCAUGCCUGUUCAAGUAAGAUGAUACACUUUUAGCUUAAUUGAACGUUCCUAAUUAUAUGAUAAUCAAUUAUCAUCUAUUUCUUGCCAAUUGCAGUUAGUUUGAUUUGCAUCUAAUGUUCCUUUCCACGCGGAAGUUAAUGUACCUGAACGCAAUUCGCAAAGUAUCAUAUAAAUGAAUGAAUGGCACUACCAAACUAAACAAAUGAUUCUGAGCUUUGCAUGAUGUUGGUCAGUUAGCCCUUGAUAGAACCCGAUCAGGGUCAGUUACUUAUUGAUAAGACGUACCGCCACCCCAGCAGCUGUUUCAGAUUCAGUCAAAUCCAGUUUAAAUUUGUAAAGCCAUAGAAUCAGUGGUCUCGACUGAUUGGCAAUCUCACUACUUGAUUACGUUUUAUUUCCGGCACAUCUUAUCACCUUAUACCUACAUAGCGGUCAAGGGCAAAACGUCAACUCUAGUUAUCUCUAAACGAGACGUUAUGAAAGGAGCAGUUCUUGAGCAGUGUUAAAUCAGAUUACGAAUCAAAUUAUAAGCGCUCGUUUUUUUGAAGUUAAGUGCGGGUGACCAGUGCGUUUGACUACUGUGCACUUUCUACCACAUUUUUACUGACAAGAUCAAGAACGUGGUUCGGCAAAGGAGUAAUGAUGUUGCUGGGUUAUAUGGGCUGAUAUCUAAGGACCAGUACCAAGCAUAUCUCUAAUUGUUCCUACAAUAUAAGUGAGAAAAUAUACAUUGGGCUUCCGAUUAACAGAUUUGGUCCCUCCUAAUUACUCUAGACGCAAGAUCUGCUGCAAAAGUCACUGAAUCAAGCUUUUGUGGGAAAGAAUUGGGAAGGACUCGGUACUCUGGAAGGGCCUCUAUCCAUGCAAGUGUAUAAACGGGUUUUAGUGAACUGUAGAGAAAUACCGACGCCUAAACGGGACGUAUCUGUGUGGAGGGGGAGGAUGGUGAAGAGGAGGAGGUAAUCUGCAUUGGACAAGAACCCAGAGCGGGAGCGGGGGGUUAGAGGACUCCGAGUCGCCGCAUGCUACAGAAACCAGGCACAAUGCCACUUUAGUUUAUCCAAAAUGACCUCCAUGGGAGGAACAAAAAGUGGGAUUUGACAUUUUACAAAGUCAAUUUUUUAAGAUUUGCUACUAAUUUCAUGUUUGUGUAAUUGUAGAGGCCGGGACCUGUUGUCAUACCUCAGAUUCCCCCUUCAAACUGGAUGGGAUUAUCUAUCUUUUCCGUGAUAUUUUGCACGCUCCCAUUUGAAAUAAUUGCUCUUCUGUUCUCUUUUCUCGUUAAUGAUUCUUACAGAAGUGGACAGUAUGACAAAGCACGGAAGAACUCAGAGAUCGCUAAGUGGAUGAACGUGCUUGCAAUUAUAAGUGGACCGACUUUAGGUUGCGUUGUUCUAUAUCUGAUCAUUAGACCCUUAUGAAAUAUGCUGAGCACCACAAGAAAUCACCAACAUCUUAGUCAUUAGUCAUUGUUAUUCUCCCGAUACACUAGCUAUAAUACAUGUAGUCAGUUUAAUAUUACGACACUAGCCUGCAGACAGACCAGCUCUCUCGCAAAGAGUGCGUGGCUACUCACAGCUCCAAAAUCAUGUUCUUUUGUCGUUGACGACGGAUCGACAAUGCCAUAUCACAUCCAAUGUUAUGCUUAAGCGAUAGACCACAAGUUUCUAUGGUUUAUAGGCUGAUAAACCCCGUGGGAUGUUGGAAG